UACGUAGGCAGCGAGCGUUGUUCGGAGUUACUGGGCGUAAAGGGUGUGUAGGCGGUUGUUUAAGUUUGGUGGGAAAUCUCCCGGCUCAACUGGGAGGGUGCGCCGAAUACUGAAUGACUAGAGUGCGGGAGAGGUGAGUGGAAUUCCUGGUGUAGCGGUGAAAUGCGUAGAUAUCAGGAGGAACACCGGUGGUGUAGACGGCUCACUGGACCGUAACUGACGCUGAGACACGAAAGCGUGGGUAGCAAACAGG
rnacentral:rRNA from 1 species